AAGGAAAAGGUGGUGAAUUUAGAAACAUGGGAAGUGUAAUAGUAAAACUCCUAACAAAACGAGCCACAUUGGAAGGCCAUAAGUUGAAAUAGGCCCAAAAAGGUAACCCUAAUUACAUCACGUAUUUUUAUAUAUAAAUAUAGACAGCAUAUCCUGUGAUCCUCCUCUGUUCUUUGUCGAAGUCUCUGUACUCUAUCCGAUUUUCAAUUAUUGCUUAGUUCUUUUGCCUCUUUUCUUUCGAUCUUCUUCUAUCUUUUUUUUUUUCAUUUUCUUGAUCUAAAUUAUGAUUUAAUGUUUUUUGGAAGGCAAUGAUGGUAAGAACUACCUAUUUUAUGAGGGAAUUGAGAAUUUUCCCUUGUGAUUAUAAAUCUACCAAUGGAUCCUUCUGAGCCUUCAGCACUUUUGAUGUUUCUUUUUUCCUUUUUUGAAGAUUUAUUUGGGAUAGUUAAUUGGUAUUACAGUGUGAUGGUGGGAGGUGACUGAUUAGAGCGCCAUUGAAGUGAUGAUACUUUUUCCGAAUUUAAUGAAUGUGGAUUUAUUCAAUCAGACUACAAUUAUCUGAUCAAUGGCUCUCCUUCAAUUACUCUGUUAUUUUUGGCUGUCACAGAUGAAUGGAGGAAAAUUCCUUUUUUUUUGGGUCUUUAUCGUCAAGUUGUUUUGUGCGUAUUAAGGAAACAACUCAUACAAAGCAUGAGCCGAAUCAGCAAUGGAAAGUAUCUCUUAGUUGAGAGGAUUUAACUGUUGUGAAGAGACGCUCAAAUCACCGAAAACCUUUUUGGGUAGAACUAAUAUAAAAUUACAAAAUUUGGAGUCAUCA